rnacentral:rRNA from 1 species
UGGAGUAGUGGCGAACGGGUGAGGAACACGUGGGCAAUCUGCCCUUCACUCUGGGACAAGCCCUGGAAACGGGGUCUAAUACCGGAUAACACUCUGUCCCGCAUGGGACGGGGUUAAAAGCUCCGGCGGUGAAGGAUGAGCCCGCGGCCUAUCAGCUUGUUGGUGGGGUAAUGGCCUACCAAGGCGACGACGGGUAGCCGGCCUGAGAGGGCGACCGGCCACACUGGGACUGAGACACGGCCCAGACUCCUACGGGAGGCAGCAGUGGGGAAUAUUGCACAAUGGGCGAAAGCCUGAUGCAGCGACGCCGCGUGAGGGAUGACGGCCUUCGGGUUGUAAACCUCUUUCAGCAGGGAAGAAGCGAAAGUGACGGUACCUGCAGAAGAAGCGCCGGCUAACUACGUGCCAGCAGCCGCGGUAAUACGUAGGGCGCAAGCGUUGUCCGGAAUUAUUGGGCGUAAAGAGCUCGUAGGCGGCUUGUCACGUCGGAUGUGAAAGCCCGGGGCUUAACCCCGGGUCUGCAUUCGAUACGGGCUAGCUAGAGUGUGGUAGGGGAGAUCGGAAUUCCUGGUGUAGCGGUGAAAUGCGCAGAUAUCAGGAGGAACACCGGUGGCGAAGGCGGAUCUCUGGGCCAUUACUGACGCUGAGGAGCGAAAGCGUGGGGAGCGAACAGGAUUAGAUACCCUGGUAGUCCACGCCGUAAACGUUGGGAACUAGGUGUUGGCGACAUUCCACGUCGUCGGUGCCGCAGCUAACGCAUUAAGUUCCCCGCCUGGGGAGUACGGCCGCAAGGCUAAAACUCAAAGGAAUUGACGGGGGCCCCGCACAAGCAGCGGAGCAUGUGGCUUAAUUCGACGCAACGCGAAGAACCCUUACCAAGGCUUGACAUAUACCGGAAAGCAUCAGAGAUGGUGCCCCCCUUGUGG